ACCGUUUUGAUCAACUUUAAAUGCUCAGCAUUUUAAUAUAUUUUCAGCAGUUCCAAUAAAUAUGCCAAGACUACUACCAAGAAUAUCACUUUGUGAUAUUCACUUCAGUGAACUUUAAAUGAAAAUUGAUAGUCUCGAUCCUAACGCUCUUGGUCCUUCUAGAAAAAUAUACUGGUUUUUCCUUUACGCUCUCUCACCAUUACGUAUACAGGAUAACUUCCUUAGUCCAGCCUGAAACCCCCAAAUAUAUGUCAAAGGAUAACUAAGAAGCUGCGAAAAGCGGAUACAAAUACUAGACUUUUGCUCAAAAACUUAGAAAAAAUUCGCGUCGAAUGUUGCCUAUGUACUAUUUGAAGUAACUUAAUAGCUCACAACUGCUUUGUAGAUUAAUGAAUUUUAUAGAACUUACUUGCACUUACAUACAUAUGUAAGUAGGUAUUCGUAUCUUAAAAAAAAAAAUUUCGCUUUUAAUUUGCUUAAAUAUUUCUUGUCAUGGAGUUAGAUAGCGCUUAGAUGGUCUAUUUCUGGUUAUUUCUGUUCCAAAUUUCAUUGCGAAGUUUAUACCGUUUUGUAAAUAUUCUG
rnacentral:lncRNA from 1 species